GUUAACUGGUAAAAUGUUUUUCUUUCGGUCUAGUACUGCAGUGUGCCACUGUGUUGCGGCCAUGGAUAAGCAGUGACACCUUUUUGAUUGUCCACCCUGACCUGAGCUGAUACAUAUACCCCCGGAGCCAUUUCAGAGGACAGCUGGAAGUCAGCCAUAUUGCUAUGGAUCUGGAGUCACGUGGAAUCCAGACUGGAUGCUACCAGACCUGCUGAGCUUUUCCAGCGACUUCAGUUUUUGCUUCGGAAUACAUGCCCUUUGCUGUGCCUGACGUUGCCAAUAUGUCUAUCUAUAUAUAGGUAAUAAAACUGCCCCAUUGUAAUCACUCUAUAAUAAAGUCAUCGAGUCAUACAGUAUAGAAACAGGCCCUUCUUGAACAAAGGAACUAAAUUAGCUCUCCUCCAGUCAUAAUGUUGGCAUCUUUCUGUAAUUUCCCUGCAGAUUGGCUCUUCUACAUCCUUCCCACAAAUUGGUGGUCUUUGGACUGCUCAGAGCAAUGGAAUUCCACUUUUUUUAUUCCUUAGCUGUAGCCAAUUGACUCUAACUUUGAACCCUCUGAGAAAUAUUCUUUUUCCAGUACUGCAAUCAUUACUCAAACCAAUACUGCCAAUUACUGGUUAUAAUCCAGAGAUCAGUACCACAGAUAGGUGGAUUCUGUUGAGUCAGAUAUCUUGAAGCUUAUUUACAACAACGAACUAUUUAUGAGGCUAAAAUACUUACAAACACGCAGUCUGGGUUCAGUGCUUACUGUCGACUACAAACAACAUGAUUGGCUGAUUAAAAACUGAAAGAACUGCGGAUGCUGUA